UUGACUUUGGGUCAAAUCUCGGUCACAUUUUUCAGCCUGUGGUGGGGCAACCAAAUUAUCACAUUUUUAGCCUGUGGCAGGGCCUGCACAUUAUAGUUCCACAUUUCUAGCCUGUGAUGGGGCCUGCCAAAGUAUCACAUUUUCAGCCUGUGGCGGGGCCUGCACAUUAUAGUUCCACAUUUCUAGCCUGUGAGGGGGCCUACCAAA
rnacentral:lncRNA from 1 species